UUCCAACCCGACCCAGCCUACGUCUCUCUCACCACACACCACAGCUCUCGGCCUCCCCCUCUCCCUCCCCUCCUCCGACUCCGACGACCACCACCGACGGCGGCGACGAUGCAGGCGGCGGCGGCGGCGGCGCGGCGCCACCUCCUCGACCAGCACCACCUCUCCCCGGCCUCCUCGGCCGCCAUCGCCGCCUUCAGAUCCGCCGCCCAGCCGGCGCUCGCGCCCCAAGGGCUGGGCGGGGCGGAUGGCGCGAGGUACAUGUCCGCCAGGGCGCCGGCCGUCAAGGGGGCCGGGCAUCUCGUCCGCAAGGGCACCGGAGGGAGGUCGUCCGUGAGUGGAAUCGUCGCUACGGUGUUUGGAGCUACUGGAUUUCUUGGACGCUAUGUCGUUCAACAACUUGCGAAGAUGGGAUCUCAGGUUCUUGUCCCAUUUAGAGGUUGUGAGGAUUCUCACCGCCACCUGAAAUUAAUGGGUGACUUGGGUCAGAUUGUUCCAAUGAACUACAACCCAAGAGAUGUGAAUUCGAUUAAGACUGCCGUGGCCAAGUCAAAUGUGGUCAUUAACCUCAUUGGACGGGAGUAUGAAACAAGAAACUAUGGGUUUGAAGAAGUAAACCAUCAGAUGGCUGAACAACUUGCAAUGAUAUCCAAGGAGCAUGGGGGUAUCGUGAGAUUUAUCCAGGUUUCUGCUUUAGGGGCAUCCGCCUCUUCACCUUCUAGAUUGCUUAGGGCGAAGGCUGCUGGAGAGGAAUCUGUGUUGAAAGAAUUUCCUGAAGCUACAAUUAUGAGGCCUGCAACCCUGAUUGGCACAGAAGAUCGGAUUUUGAACAGAUGGGCAAUGUAUGCCAAAAAUUGGGGUUUCCUCCCACUUUUUGGCGGUGGAUCUACAAAGUUUCAGCCUGUUUACGUUGUGGAUGUUGCGGCUGCCAUUGUCAACUCCCUCAAGGAUGAUGGCACCAGCAUGGGAAAGACCUAUGAGCUUGGUGGACCAGAUAUUUACACUGUUCAUGACCUGGCUGAAAUGAUGUUUGAAACAAUACGCGAAUAUCCAAGAUACGUGAAUCUUCCUUUCCCUAUUGCAAAGGCUAUGGCUUCUCCAAGGGAAAUGCUGCUAAACAAAGUGCCUUUUCCUCUGCCAACUCCCUCCAUUUUCAAUCUUGAUCAGAUCAAGGCACUCACCGUAGACAACCUAGUGUCUGAGAAUGCUCUCAGUUUUGCGGACCUGGAAAUCAAGCCUCACAAGUUGAAGGGUUACCCUACCGAGUUCCUUGUCUGCUACAGAAAGGGCGGGCCGUCUUUUGGUUCUACUGUCAGCGAGAAGAUGGGGAGUGCGGAUGUGGCCCCCCGGUUCUGAAGACGCAGUAGAAUCGGUGAUCAUUUAGUUGAAAGAUAAAAUUGUUGUUGUGUUUUGUUACCUUGCCAUCCUGACGCUGAUGCCAGACGCCUCACCGCAGGACCAGAUUUGAUGCAAACGUUGCCUCCUGCCCUUGUUUUAAUUAUCAAUAAUAAGAAAAGGCAAGUAAAGCGAAGCAUUUUGACGGCGACUGACACGUUUGCAGAGAUUUCAGGGUAUAAAUCUCAUCGCUCGUGUGGCUGAGCAGUAAAAUUGUUUUGAUGGAUCUGUUUGCUGCUGAAUGCUCUAGGAUGCUUACAUGUUUUGAUAUAAUGUAAUGAUUAGAAGAACAAAAUCCUUUCUGAAAAUGUGUGGCUGGAUAACACAAAUAUGCAGUAUGAGUUUGCCCUCGUA